UACGUAGGGAGCAAGCGUUGUUCGGAUUUACUGGGCGUAAAGGGCGCGUAGGCGGCGCGGUAAGUCACUUGUGAAAUCUCCGGGCUUAACUCGGAACGGCCAAGUGUUACUGCCGCGCUAGAGUGCAGAAGGGGCAAUCGGAAUUCUUGGUGUAGCGGUGAAAUGCGUAGAUAUCAAGAGGAACACCUGAGGUGAAGACGGGUUGCUGGGCUGACACUGACGCUGAGGCGCGAAAGCUAGGGUAGCAAACGGG
rnacentral:rRNA from 1 species